GGACAAGCAGUUCUGGAAAAAUCAGUAGCCGGUAGCUGGAACCCACUGAUUCUGUGAGAAGCCAUUGCCACCAAGAGAAAUACACCAUUUCAUGGAGCAGAAUUGGAAGUCACAAGCUGCUUUGCUAGAAAAUGGAGCAGCACAGGCCACAGCAGUGCAUCUGGAGGAAACAGGCCCACGUAGAAGCUUCUAGUCCUGGCUGCUGGAUGCAGGGCUAAAUCUUGGAUCAAAAAAUAUGAAAAAAAUUGUCAUAACUGAGCAACUGAGCAGAUUCCAUCGACCUCACCAAGGAACAGGAGGAGCUGCUCGAGGAGUUAGUUCAUCACAUACUGUGGGACAACUGCCCUCUGCUUUUCAGACCCAUGUCCUGGAACAGAUUUUCAGGCUUGUGCUUGCUGUUGAGCCUGUUAUUCUGGAGAAGAUUUUCUUCUUCUUCUUCUUUUUCUUCUUUUUUUUAAAACUAGUUGCAAGAAAUAUUUAUGAUGCUUGGAUAAUUCUGCAGAGGACAUGUAUACAGCUGCUGUGGUUGUCAUAAGCCUCCCAUACUCCUACCUGACUGUGUGGAGAAAGGUGAGAAAGACGGUGAAUUGUAGGCAAUGAUUGCAGGGUGACUUGAC
rnacentral:lncRNA from 1 species